CAGCCGCCACGGUAAUACGUAGGUGGCAAGCGUUGUCCAGAAUUAUUGGGCGUAAAGGGCUCGCAGGCGGUUUCUUAAGUCUGAUGUGAAAGCCCACGGCUCAACCGUGGAGGGUCAUUGGAAACUGGAGAACUUGAGUGCAGAAGAGGAAAGUGGAAUUCCAUGUGUAGCGGUGAAAUGCGCAGAGAUAUGGAGGAACACCAGUGGCGAAGGCGACUUUCUGGUCUGUAACUGACGCUGAUGUGCGAAAGCGUGGGGAUCAAACAGGAUUAGAUACCCGCGUAGUCCCUGUCUCUUAUAC
rnacentral:rRNA from 1 species